AAAUGAAAACCUCUUGUAGUCUAACAGCUUCUGUGACAAGACUACUCAAAAUUUGUGAAUCCACAGUUAAGACAGUGGAGGAUGAUGCUUACCAAUGGAUCACCCAAUUCAUUGGUUUUGUGGAUGUAAACACUGACAACUGCACCCUACAGCACCCACACCCUACAGCAAAAUGGCCAUCUGCACAACUAAACAGAUGUCCCCUGUAUUUGUUCUGCAGCAAAGUGAAUGUGGCAUUACAGGGGACGGCUGCAAAAUAAAGUAGAUGACAGAACGGAACAGAAGUGGGCAGCAACACUGAACUGCUGUCUCAGCCAGGCAGGAAGAAGGCAGGGACAGCCAAGAAAAGCUGGGUGCCAGAUAACGAUCUACAUGCUUGUCUUGUGACUGUCAAGGUUGGAAUAGUAAAUAGGGAGCUCUGCCCAUGGGGCCUUUGUCAGACGCUAUGAGGAAAGCAUGCCCAUACCGUUAAGACAUGAGAAAGAGGCCACAAGCACGAACAAAUCCUCCUGUUCAUCUUCACAAAUAACAAUGACAGAAGCCAAAGUCUGGAAAGAGGCAUGGUGGUGUAUCUCUGUGUUGGUGAGGAAGUUGUGCCUGGCAAUAAGAACGUAAGGAGAAAGUCUGCUGGGGAAUAUUGACUGACUCACAAUGUGGCAAGCUGAAUUCCCCUGGUCGAUACCAGUUUGUUUUGUUGCUCCUUCUGGAUACUGUGCCACAGCUGGCUUGCUAGAAUUACACAGAGGGCUGAUUUUGGAGUAUGACUCAGCAAGCUGCAACUGAUCUCUCACUCUGCUGGAACCGCAGCUGAAUGUAUGGAUAUGUUCAAACACCCCUCAGUUAUGUCACAGCACUUAACACCUGGCAGGAUUAUGCUGAGCGCCUGCUCCAAGCCACCCGAUGACAACCAUGAAGAUAACAUCCUCUCUGUUCAUAACAGGGUAGGCAGAAUACCCAUGAAGAGGCAGCCCAACAAUUACAGUAGGAGCUCUUCCUUCCAGAAGCCUCAUAGAUAUCAACUCAAGACUUGUAAUACACUGAUGAGGUAAACCAACAACAUCCAAAAAUUGAGAGAAAAUCAGAAAGAGAGGUUACAUAAAUUCUCUAGCACUGCAAAGUAAAUCCAGGUAAGGUUUUCCAUCCAUGAAUUUUUGUUUUAAAUGCAACAUUCUCAUUCUUCUCAGUACAGUAGGGUUACCCAUUAAUAAACUGCCAAGAUCUGUGUUAAAAGGCGUGUGUACAAACACAGACGCUAAAUCUUGGAGCAGCUCUUCUCAGCUACAGAGGGCACCAACAGAACAGUUUGGUAGGGUUGUGUUGCAAAAGCAAAGGCAGCCCAGCAAACUCGUUUGGAAUUGGAGCUUGUUU